rnacentral:lncRNA from 1 species
AUGAAAGGAUCCCUGAAGACUUCCUUAUGGAUUUUGUCUCUGGGAACACGGCUCAGCAGCAUGGACACAGAAACAGCAGUGGUGGCUGAUUGCAUUGAUCCAGAUUUGGAAGUUGUGUGGCAGUUAAAGCAGAAGGAUAAGACUGCUCUCUACCAAGAUCUCCAGAGCCUCACAUCGGUCAGUGCCCCCAAAGAGGCAGAGUCCGGCUUCAGGCCUCUAGCCUUCUCUCUUUUGGGGAAGAAAAUACCUCUACUCCGAAGGCAGCCAGCACAUAUUUUACUCACAACAGUCAGCAGAUGGCUGUGGAUCCCAGGAAUCACAUCAGGACAAAGCUCGCUGUGCAUUUUCCAUCACUGGUAG